GACGAACGCUGGCGGCGUGCUUAACACAUGCAAGUCGAACGCUGAAGCUCAGCUUUUGUUGGGUGGAUGAGUGGCGAACGGGUGAGUAACACGUGAGUAACCUGCCCCCUUCUUUGGGAUAACGCCCGGAAACGGGUGCUAAUACUGGAUAUUCACUGGUCUUCGCAUGGGGGUUGGUGGAAAGGGUUUUUCUGGUGGGGGAUGGGCUCGCGGCCUAUCAGCUUGUUGGUGGGGUGAUGGCCUACCAAGGCUUUGACGGGUAGCCGGCCUGAGAGGGUGACCGGUCACAUUGAGACUGAGAUACGGCCCAGACUCCUACGGGAGGCAGCAGUGGGGAAUAUUGCACAAUGGGCGCAAGCCUGAUGCAGCGACGCCGCGUGAGGGAUGGAGGCCUUCGGGUUGUGAACCUCUUUCGCUCAUGGUCAAGCCGCAACAAUGGUUGUGGUGAGGGUAGUGGGUAAAGAAGCGCCGGCUAACUACAUG
rnacentral:rRNA from 1 species